rnacentral:pre_miRNA from 1 species
CUACAAAGGCAAGCACUUUCUCUUGUCUAAAAGAAAAGAAGGUGCUUCCCUUUGCAGUGU